AUGGAUGGCGGCACGGCGGAGCUGCGCGAGACCCACCGCCUGGUUGGCCACGCCGACCGCGCGUGGGCACUCGCCUGGAACCCCAACCCGGGCGCCGGCGCCGGCCCCGUCCUCGCCUCCUGCGGCGCCGACAAGACAGUGCGCAUCUGGAAGCGCGCCCCCGACGGCGCCUGGCACUGCUCGGAUGUGCUCGAAGGCGUGCACGAAAGCACGGUGAGGUCCUGCGCCUGGUCCCCCGACGGGAAGCUGUUGGCGGACGCGAGCUUCGAUGGCACGACGGCGAUUUGGGAGUACUCCGGUGGAGACUUUGAGUUGGUCGACACGUUGGAGGGGCACGUGAACGAGGUGAAGAGUGUGUCGUGGAGCCAGUCCGGUUCGAUGGUCGCGACGUGCAGCCGGGACAGGGCAGCGUGGAUAUGGGAGAUUCUGCCGGGGAACGAUCAUGAGUGCGUAGAUGUGCUGGAGGGGCACACUGAGGAUGUGAAGAUGGUCCAGUGGCACCCGUUCUUUGAUGUUCUGGUUUCUGUCAGUUAUGACAAUACGAUCAGGGUCUGGGCUGAUGACGGCGAUGGUAAAUGGCCUUGUGUACAGACAUUAACUGAAGCCGGUAACAGUGGUCAUUCCUCAACAGUAUGGUCAAUAUCUUUUAACCAGAAAGGAGAUAGGAUGGUCACAUGCAGUGAUGACUGUACUUUGAAAAUUUGGGAUGCGAGUAUUGAUUUGUCGCAACCAACAACUGGAGAAGGUCAUGAAUCUUGGCGUCAUAUUUCUACUCUAUCUGGAUAUCAUGGCCGAACUAUUUUUUCAGUCCAUUGGUCAAGCGAGGGUGUAAUUGCCAGUGGGGCAGGUGAUGAUGCUAUCUGCUUAUUUGCCGAGGAGAAUAGUAUGGUUGAGGGACCUUCCUACAGAUUAAUACUGAAGAAAGAGAAGGCACAUGACACGGAUGUAAAUUGUGUCAGAUGGUGUCCUCAGAACCCAAGGGUGCUGGCAUCCGUGAGCGAUGAUGGCACAGUCAAAUUGUGGGAGCUGCAGGGGGAUAUACUGGAUUGA
rnacentral:rRNA from 1 species